rnacentral:ncRNA from 1 species
AAACGAAUAGAACUCCGAGCAAAAAUAUCUAAGGCCUGUGGCUAUGAUAUUGCGCCGGGGCCCUGCUGGAAACGGCAGGACCUUCCAUUUUGAAAAGGGGUAUCCAUUUUAGUAUC